rnacentral:rRNA from 1 species
CCUACGGGUGGCAGCAGUGAGGAAUAUUGGUCAAUGGACGCAAGUCUGAACCAGCCAUGCCGCGUGCAGGAUGACGGCUCUAUGAGUUGUAAACUUCUUUUGUACGAGGGUAAACCCCUAUACGUGUAUCGGGUUGAAAGUAUCGUACGAAUAAGGAUCGGCUAACUCCGUGCCAGCAGCCGCGGUAAUACAGAGGAUCCGAGCGUUGUCCGGAUUUAUUGGGUUUAAAGGGUGCGUAGGCGGUUUGAUAAGUUAGAGGUGAAAGGUCGGGGCUCAACCCCGGAACUGCCUCUAAUACUGUUGGACUAGAGAAUAGUUGCGGUAGGCGGAAUGUAUGGUGUAGCGGUGAAAUGCUUAGAGAUCAUACAGAACACUGAUUGCGAAGGCAGCUUACUAAACUAUAUCUGACGUUGAGGCACGAAAGCGUGGGUAGCAAACAGGAUUAGAUACCCCAGUAGUC